GCUUAGAUAGCUCAGUUGUUACAGCAUGAGAUUCUUAAUCUAGGGUUGUGGGUUCAAACCCCACGUUGGGUA